GAAAUGCGAUAAGUAGUGUGAAUUGCAGAAUUCAGUGAAUCAUCGAAUCUUUGAACGCACAUUGCGCCCUUUGGUAUUCCAAAGGGCAUACCUGUUCGAGCGACCUUUGUCCCCUCAAGCUUUGCAUGGCGUUGGGCGGCUUGUCUCUAGCUUUGCUGGGGACUCGCCUUAAAGUAAUUGGCCGCCGGCCUACUGGUUUCGGAGCGCAGCACAAGUCGCACUCUCUAUCAGCAAAGGUCUAGCAUCCAUUAAGCCUUUUUUUCACCUUUUGACCUCGGAUCAGGUAGGGAUACCCGCUGAACUUAA
rnacentral:misc_RNA from 1 species